GUGUUGUGAGAGCAAUAUUCUGAGGGGAGAAAAUGGCAAGGCGGUUCACAUUUCUCUGUAUGCUCUAGCAGCCACCCCAGCAUGUAUUUUAGAUUUUCCUCUAUCAGCUGUGUGUACCCAGAGUAUGGAAGUCCCCCAGAUGACCACUAGGGAAAGGACUGGCACUGAGUGUAACCCCCAUGGUGGCAAGCUCCCCUGCUCCUUUCAGGUGUUUUGCUGGUGGGAUCAUCCAUGUUGCAGGAGACUCUCUGAGCCCCAGCAAGCAGUAAAUAGAACAAACAGAACCCGUGUUACAGGCAUGGUCAACUGCACUGGUCGCACAGCCCUAGCAGAGCAGAGUCACUGCCACCCUCACGUAGGCAGUGACAUGGCGCAGGGGAUUACCCACCCUGGGGUCCUCCCAGUGAUACCUGGACAAGUCAGCAGCACACGGCAGCAGCAGCAGGGAGAAGUGAUGGGAGCACUUGCACCGUUUACCUGUGCCUCAGAGCAGCCACAGCAAGGGACCAGGACAGGCUGAUGCACCAAGGACACAUUGACUUGCUCACCUCCUGCACUGUUGGAAUUAGUUUUGCAGUUAAUAUACGCACUGAUGUCAAAUAAAAUGAAACCGUUAUGAUGUUGUGAGUUGCCU
rnacentral:lncRNA from 1 species